rnacentral:rRNA from 1 species
UACGUAGGUGACCAGCGUUGUCCGGAUUUACUGGGCGUAAAGAGCGCGCAGGCGGUCGUUCAAGUCGAGUGUGAAAGCCCCCGGCUCAACUGGGGAGGGUCAUUCGAUACUGAUCGACUUGAAGGCAGGAGAGGGAAGCGGAAUUCCCGGUGUAGUGGUGAAAUGUGUUGAGAUUGGAAGGAACGCCGGUGGCGAAAGCGACUUGCUGGAUCUCUUCUGACGCUGAGGCGCGAAAGCUAGGGUAGCGAACGGG